CAUGCAGUCGAACGGUCUCUUCGGAGAUAGUGGCGGACGGGUGAGUAACGCGUGAGAAUCUGGCUCUAGGUCUGGGACAACCACUGGAAACGGUGGCUAAUACCGGAUGUGCCUGUGGGUGAAAGGUUAACUGCCUGGAGAUGAGCUCGCGUCUGAUUAGCUAGUUGGUGGUGUAAGAGACUACCAAGGCGACGAUCAGUAGCUGGUCUGAGAGGAUGAUCAGCCACACUGGAACUGAGACACGGUCCAGACUCCUACGGGAGGCAGCAGUGGGGAAUUUUCCGCAAUGGGCGAAAGCCUGACGGAGCAAUACCGCGUGAGGGAGGAAGGCUCUUGGGUUGUAAACCUCUUUUCUCAAGGAAGAAAGAUGACGGUACUUGAGGAAUCAGCAUCGGCUAACUCCGUGCCAGCAGCCGCGGUAAUACGGAGGAUGCAAGCGUUAUCCGGAAUGAUUGGGCGUAAAGCGUCCGUAGGUGGCUGUGUGUGUCUAUUGUUAAAGAGUUUGGCUCAACCAAAUAAGGGCGGUAGAAACUACACAGCUAGAGUGCGUUCGGGGCAGAGGGAAUUCCUGGUGUAGCGGUGAAAUGCGUAGAGAUCAGGAAGAACACCGGUGGCGAAAGCGCUCUGCUAGGCCGCAACUGACACUGAGGGACGAAAGCUAGGGGAGCGAAUGGGAUUAGAUACCCCAGUAGU
rnacentral:rRNA from 1 species